rnacentral:sRNA from 1 species
AUAUCUCUCUGUACGGGAAGGAUGAGAAGCUUCGACCAAGGUUCGAUUCGAGCGUCAGCGAGAAAGCGU